AACAUUUUUGUUUUGAUCAGAUGUACAGUUUCUAUAGAACUGAAAGGAUAGCCUUAAAAUUACUCUUGAACACUUCCCCAUGAGUGAAUCUCCACAUUUACAGUAUUUCUGUUUGUCAUUGGCAGCAGUCUGCGGGAGAGGGAAGGCCAGGCGGCUUCCGGCUGAUGACACCCGACACCUUGCAGCCCAUGGAGGCUGCACUGCCACUGCCUUAUUCAUUAUGGGCUGUUGGCCUUCUCCAUUUGUGUAGGGAAAAAAAUUUGCUUUCUUUACUUGCAUAUCAGCAAUGCUUGGCAUAAAUUUGGCAUUUGAAAACUGCAGAUUUCAUAGACACUGCACACCUGGAGCUCUCCUGUUGGCACAGAUACAGCCUGAGCAUGCUUCUCAGCAAACACCCCCACUCAGUGACAGAACUGUCCUGGGGCCUGCAACUUCUUGCUAUUCCGAUUCUGGGAGUCUGCGAUGGCUGUGGUUGCAAUCUGGGCUGAGACUGGUGGUCAGGCUGCCCGGAGCACCCAGGUGUAACUGCACGGGCACCAGACGUGGAGCUGGGACACCUGGGGACUCCAUGUGCUGGCUGGGGACUCCAUGAUCGAUCUCCCAAGUCAGGCAAACGCUGUUGGCCUCGUGUGCAAUCAAAGGCCACUGUGCUAGGUGGCCACUAAAUUCAACUCUAGUUCGUAUUCUUUACAUUUAGUGUUUUAUCUAGUCUUUUCAUUCAUUAAAUUGAGCUCUGAAAUUAGUCUGAAAAGUGAGAAUUUGUACUAAUUUUCCUUGCUAGUGACUCUUGAACCGUCACCCUCCAUAAUGAUUUUUGCUUUGUAAUAGCCACCCAAAAUAGUACCCCAUGCAUUAUUUUUCUUUUUACCUUUUUGAUAAUAUAUGUUGUUAUGAUUAUUGAUGAUCAAUUAGCAUAUUUAUUAAAAAUUAUUUUAAAAACUAGAAAAUCAUCCCAAAGACGGAAAAAAU
rnacentral:lncRNA from 1 species